rnacentral:rRNA from 1 species
ACGCUCGACACCUACGGGAGGCCGCAGUGGGGAAUAUUGCACAAUGGGGGAAACCCGUGAUGCAGCAACGCCGCGUGAAGGAAGACGGUUUUCGGAUUGUAAACUUCUGUUCUUAGUGAAGAUAGUGACGGUAGCUAAGGAGCAAGCCACGGCUAACUACGUACCAGCAGCCGCGGUAAUACUGAGCGGGCGUGGCGAAGGACG